UAACAGAUCACAUCUCUACUCUGGUGGUAUGAGGGCCUUGAUGUGGGUCAAUACCUCCUAUACAUGUUCACUCAGCCAGUACAUUCACCUGAAUUGAAGAGUUUUCUCAACAAAAUACACAAUUAUGUCUCUCUUGGAUCCAUAGGUAGUUCCCUGAUCAAAUCGUCCCGUUAAUUAUGAAGUUUGUUGUAUUCAAAAUCAUGUAACCCCUAAUUAGGCCUCUAAUUUAUGUAUAUUCCACGUAUGACGUUUUAUCUUUUUGGCUUCCCUGAUUUUUUUUCUAACAGUGUGUUAGACCACCCAAGUUACGCUUUCAACUGCAUGCGUCUGUCAAUGCUAUUCAUACAGUCCUGUUGAGAAAAGUGAUCCUUAACCAUUUUGAUCUAUUUUCUUUUCAUUAACAGAUAAAAGAAACAUUUUUCCAUAUUUAAAACGUGGAUAUAAUGGGGAGAUGGAGGAGAUUUCGACAGUUAAGCUUGUAGAGGUUCUGUAUCCAGAUUCAACUGGAUGAUGAUGCUAGUGAGAAAGACCAUGUGAUGAUACAAUCAAAGCAUUAUAAUAACAAUGGUCACACAUGCAUCUCUGGCUAAAGAAACUUGUUUGGCAUAGAUUAACCUUUGACAGAGCCUGAAUGGUGAUGUGUUAGAUGUAUUGGAGGAGCUAAAAUCUUAGUUUUCCUGAGGAACCUAUGAGAAGCAAGCCUUGACUAGAUCAUCAUUGCUCUACAGUACAUAGCUGACCUCCUCUUUUUCCCCCAAACGAAUGGGAAUGGCAUUCACAAAACAGCUGUCAUUCCAUUGCCCCAUAAAACAGUUAGCAGAGAAAUUCGACCCUAUCACCAAGAUCACUAGUAAAUCCAUUUAUCAUACAGCCAAAAAACUUGUUUCUUAACGUCUAGCUAUGACCUAGCUUUCUCAGAUAUUCUAUACUUCCUGUGGCUUAAAACAUAGCUGUUAAACAUUGGAGAAGGGAAAUUUGUGGCCUAAAAGUGAAAAGUGAGGAAACACUUGAGAUUUAACACUGGCAAUACCUUAGCCAGAAUAUUAGAACAAAACAUCAGUUUUCAACAACCUAGGAAAACUGCAUGAA